GUACUGGACAGUUCCUGAGCAUCCCGGUUGCCCAGAUCACCCUUUCAUCUCCGAUGGAUGUGCAUCGAGAUCCGGCCUCCAAUUUUCCAGGCAAGCUCUGAACACUUGAGGGCCGCGCUGAACCAAGUGUCACAGACUCGUGAAGUCAUCAUAGUUUUGGGUAAGACGAUAUCGGAUAUUGAGAUGCGCUUGUCGGUUGCUAGAGCUUCGCCAGGGUGACCAGGGAAGCAUGGGGCAUAGGAUGUCUUUUGUUAUGGGUGUUUUCACCACUUUUGCUAAACGCAAGCGGAGAGACUCGAUAAGGCAGACAUGGAAGCCACAAGAACAACUGCCGUCAUCUAGAAGGAAGAGUACUGGAGAUGUUUGCCAGAAGGGGUUGGAACUUCAGAAACCGUUUGAUCUACUAGUAGAUGCAAGGAAUGAAGUGCACCGUCUGAUGCUUGAUGGUUCUGGAAGCUGUUUUGUUCUUAGGCCGAAGCUGGUUAAAGAGUGUCUUGGUCUGGUUUCGAGUUGAACGUUGUUCUGGUGUUUGGUGUUAGCAUUUGCUCUUACAGCCUGCGUGCUGUAUUUUGUUGGCUGUAGAUCAUCUCGUGUGAUGCAUCGAGGCCGGACUUUCCUGAAUCUAAAAAAAAAAUCUACCUUGAGAAAAAAAGAGCGACAUCAGUGCAGUGCACA